rnacentral:rRNA from 1 species
UACAGAGGGGGCAAGCGUUGUUCGGAAUUACUGGGCGUAAAGGGCGCGUAGGCGGCCCGCUAAGUCGAACGUGAAAUCCCCGAGCUCAACUCGGGAACUGCGUCCGAUACUGGCGGGCUUGAAUCCGGGAGAGGGAUGCGGAAUCCAGGUGUAGCGGUGAAAUGCGUAGAUAUCUGGAGGAACACCGGUGGCGAAGGCGGCAUCCUGGACCGGCAUUGACGCUGAGGCGCGAAAGCUAGGGGAGCAAACGGG